GUCCUGCUAGGGCAGCGACGACGUCUCGAGCAGGUCUCUUCAUUUGUUGGUUCGAGUGCACGCAUGCCUCGGCCGGCGUCGGUUUCCUGUGCUGAAUUCCUUCGUAAAGGCAAUCCUUCGGCUACCAUCGUCCCGUACUCCUCCUCUCGUCGUGUGUCCGCACGGAUGCGCGGCGCGGGGAGGACACCGAAGCCCCCGUCGUGUUUCGCGGUCCGCGCACUCCCUCUACGUGGGCGCUCGGACUGCCGACGCACGACGUUGCGCUCGAUCUCUCGGAUGCGGAAAACAAAACGGCUAUGAGGAGGCCACGGCCUCCUUUGUCCAUCGGAAGGGCGUUCUACGCUCCCUACGCACGACUGUCGAUCGGGUCUUUGCUCCCGUGCCCCCGUGGCGCGGAUCAUGCCCGGUCGGCGUCGACUAGGAAUGCUACCUGGUUGAUCCUGCCAGUAG
rnacentral:misc_RNA from 1 species